CAUCCAGGAUACCACCCAGAUUAGGCUGAGCCAACUGCUGCCAGUGCUGAAGUGUAGCCGAGCCUAGGAAAAGAAGACAACAUGAGGGAUGCUGAGGAGAAGAACUGUGUGAUUAUAUAACCUAAUUUACACAGGUCUACUAUCUGAGAGAGAAGGUGUGUGAUUUCCUCCUGUUGGCGAGAAGCGUCUUCUGUUUUUUUGGCCAGUUCUUCUGCUAUACUGGAGAUCUGGAUGCUGGACUGCCCUGUAUGAGGAGAAAAGGUCUUGAAGUUCUGCUGGAGAAUGUCCAGAGAGGAACCGCUACGGGCAGAAACUCCUGCCUUUCCCUGUUGACUCCUGAUCCCAAAACAAAAGACUGUAUGAAUAAGGAAUAUGGGCACAUUGAAAUAUUACAAUUCUGCUUACUUUAUUUUCAUCAGAGACCUUCUGUUUGAUUCAACAGAAAUAACAAGUGUUGAGGCUGUUGAAAAUGGUAGUGCAUUAUAAAUUAAACUACAGCUGAAAGCCCUUAAAUAUCCUAACUGAAGCCAACAGAACCAGCUCCACUGGCCUUGAGCAAUAGAUAAAAGAAGACCGUGUUAUAAAACAGUGGACUGACGUGGGC